rnacentral:misc_RNA from 1 species
GGUCUCCUGGUUCAACUGUUUGAUGAGGCAGCCCAGCGGUAUCAGGAGGCCAUCAAUUCAGGAACCCAGGGGGUAGAGAUUACAAUACAAGAAGGUCGAUUAUCUUGGUUAGUGUACAUAAUAGGAGCUGUGAUAGGUGGUCGGAUCUCCUUCGCCAGCACAGACGAUCACGACGCCAUGGACGGGGAACUAGCUUGUAGGGUUUUACAGUUAAUGAAUUUAGUGGACUCUAGGAUUGCCCAGUAUGCCUGUGAAAAAUUAGACCUUGCCAUAUUAAGCUUUUUUGAACAAUUUAGGAAAAUUUAUGUUGGGGACCAAGUUCCUAAAAUGUCUAAGGUUUAUCGACGGUUAUCAGAAGUGUUAGGAUUAAAUGAUGAAUCUAUGGUACUGAGUGUUUUUAUUGGUGAAAUAAUUAAAAACUUAAAAUAUUGGGCCCGAAGUGAACAAAUAACAUGGAAGACCCUGCAGCUCCUAAACGAUCUGUCCGUGGGCUACAGCUCUGUCCGAAAAUUAGUCAAGCUAGAUGCUGUUCAAUUUGUUUUAAGUAAUCAUACGAAUGAACAUUUUCCGUUCUUGGGUUUGAACGCAAACAACCGUUCGUUCGCUGACAUGAGGUGUAGGACCACGUUUUACACAGCUCUGGCUCGCCUCUUAAUGGUCGACCUCAGAGAAGAUGACGAGGACAAAUUUGAAGAAUUCAUGGUCCCUUUAACAUCUGCGUUUGAGUCGGUGGGCACAAUGCUGACAAACAUGGACACGCCCCAGAAAGAGGAAGAAGCCAAGAGAGCAGUGGUAGGACUUGCCCGAGACCUGAGGGGCGUGGCAUUCGCCUUCAACACCAAAACAAGCUACAUGAUGUUCUUUGAUUGGAUCUACCCGUCCUACACGCCCAUUCUGCACCGGGCGAUCGAGGUGUGGUACCACGACCCGGCGGUCACCACCCCGGUACUCAAGCUGAUGGCCGAGCUCGCUCAGAGCCGCUCACAGAGACUCCUGUUUGAUGUCUCCUCCCCCAACGGCUAUCUCCUGUUCAGGGAGGUCAGCAAAGUGAUUGACAGCUAUGGGUCAAGAAUAUUAACAAUAGGAGAAGUUCCAAAGGAUCAAGUCUAUACCAUGAAUUGAAAGGAAUCUCGGUGUGUUUCUCCAUGUUGAAGGCGGCCCUCUGUGGGAACUAUGUUAACUUUGGAGUGUUCCGUCUGUAUGGAGAUAACGCGCUGGACAAGGCGUUUGGAAUGUUUGUCAAGCUCCUGUUGUCUGUUUCCCAGAGAGACCUGAUGGACUACCCCAAGCUGAGCCAGAACUUCUACAGUUUGCUGGAGUGUCUGGCCAACGAUCACAUGGCUUUCAUCAGUAGCUUAGAACCCCAAGUCUUUCUCUACAUCCUGGCCACCAUAUCUGAGGGUCUCACAGCUCUAGCAUACAAAUGGAGCUCUAUCCAAGAUACCAUGGUUUGUACCGGAUGCUGUGCCACGCUGGAUACAGUCAUCACCUAUCUGUUCAAGAACCUUACAAUCAAAAAGAAGAAACGAAAUCACAUGCAGCAGAACGAGGCUUUUCUCCGAAUCCUAGAACUUCACCCAGAAAUCCUUCAGCAAAUGCUGUCUACAGUACUCAAUAUUAUCAUGUUUGAGGACUGUCGGAACCAAUGGUCCAUGUCAAGGCCUUUACUGGGUCUUAUUCUACUUAACGAGGAGUAUUUUAACAAGUUGCGGGACAGCAUCAUAGCCAGCCAGCCCCCAGACAAACAGCAGGCCAUGGUCCAGUGCUUUGAGAACCUGAUGAGUGGAAUCGAGAGGUCCCUACACACAAAGAAUAGAGACAAAUUCACACAGAACCUGUCGCUGUUCAGGAGAGAUGUGAACGACUCGCUGAAGGCGGCCAACGGACAGAGUCCAACCCACUGUACACAGUUCCUGGACAUGAUGAGCUAGUACACAGCAGGCUGCACGUCAUGUGACCUCAUCAUGUGAUACAGUGAGCCAAUCAGACAUGUGUUCACAUUGACAUUCCUUAUCAUGUGUGAAACAGGCUGCGAUUGGGGCAUUUGGGGACAAUGUGAUUGGUUUUGUGGAUUUUCAACUUUCAAAGGUGGUGAAAUUGGUGCAUUGGUCUGCUAUCCCUUCUUUUUAUAUGGAUGAGGAACGAGGGUGUUUGGAAUGGAUGUGACUUUGGUGUAUGGAAUCAAUUGAAGUGCUAAUGGUAAUAGACUAGGAGCCGUGGCUGUGUAGGCGUGUGUAUAUCAGUGCUAACUGUUCAUUGUUAUGGGUUUUAUUAUUCAAUGUUAUAGUGCCAUAUGUGUGGUACUAAUGCACCGCAUGGUGUGGAAUAAAAAUUUAAAC